rnacentral:rRNA from 1 species
CUUUAAGAAAGCGUUAAAGCUCCUUCUCCAUUUUUAACAAUACUUCUCAAUUUAUUAAACCCCCUUCCACUACUGAAUGAUUCUAUAUCAAUAGAAGCCCUUAUACUAAAAUUAGUAACAAGAAAUUGUGUUUCUCCGAAAUAUAAGCAUAGACCGGAACGGACUAACCACCGGCAACUAACGUUAGUAAAACCAUUAUAGUAACCCCCCAAGAAAACUCUAUAAAAAUAGACGUUAAUCUUACACAAGAAUAUUUCCGGAAAGAUUAAAAGAAAGGGAAGGAACUCGGCAAAUUUUAACCCCGCCUGUUUACCAAAAACAUCGCCUCUUGACAACCUAUAAGAGGUCCAGCCUGCCCAGUGAUAAAGUUAAACGGCCGCGGUACCCUGACCGUGCGAAGGUAGCAUAAUCACUUGUUCCUUAAAUAGGGACUUGUAUCAACGGCAUCACGAGGGUUUUACUGUCUCCCCCAUCUAAUCAGUGAAAUUGACCUCCCCGUGAAGAGGCGAGGAUACUACUACAAGACGAGAAGACCCCAUGGAGCUUUAAACCCAAUGACAGCUUCCACUUAAACACGCCCACACAAACAUAAAGCAGUGUACAUUGGUUUUAGGUUGGGGUGACCACGGAGCAAAACUUAACCUCCACGACGAACGGAGAUUCAUCCUUAUCCACGAGCUACUACUCUAAGAAUCAAUAAUUUGACGCAAUAUGAUCCGGCAACCGAUCAACGAACCAAGUUACCCUGGGGAUAACAGCGCAAUCCAUUUCAAGAGCCCCUAUCGACAAAUGGGUUUACGACCUCGAUGUUGGAUCAGGGUAUCCCAGUGGUGCAGCCGCUACUAAAGGUUUGUUUGUUCAACAAUUAAAACC